AGAUGGGAAAACAUUGGACAAUGAGUUGGAGGUUGUUGAGGGAAUGAAGCUAGACAGGGGCUACAUAUCCCCUUAUUUCAUCACCAACCAGAACAAUCAGAAAUGUGAAUUGGAAAAUCCUCUAAUCAUAAUCCAUGAGAAGAAAAUCUCAAGUAUUAAUGAUGUGGUUAAAGUAUUGGAGUUGGUUUUGCAGUUAUGAUUUCAGAUCUGUAGAUAACCUGUUGUUGCUGAUAUUGCUACACGGGAGGAGAACAGAACAACUUGGAAAAUGUGCAAGAAGGGAGAGCUAACUCAUACAACGAAGAACAAAUUGAUGAAGUUAAGAUCAAAUUAGUAGAAUUUGUGAGCUCUCCAUUAUUUAUAAUUAUAGGUAGGAAGUAUGUAUGUAAUAGAGUAAA